rnacentral:rRNA from 1 species
UACGAAGGGGGCUAGCGUUGCUCGGAAUUACUGGGCGUAAAGGGCGCGUAGGCGGUUUGGACAGUCAGGCGUGAAAUUCCCGGGCUUAACCUGGGGGCUGCGCUUGAUACAUCCAGACUUGAGUGGGGAAGAGGGUCGUGGAAUUCCCAGUGUAGAGGUGAAAGUUCGUAGAUAUUGGGAAGAACACCGGUGGCGAAGGCGGCGACCUGGUCCUUUACUGACGCUGAGGAGCGAAAGCGUGGGGAGCGAACAGG